rnacentral:rRNA from 1 species
GUCGCCGCCCCGCACGCCCGGGGCGUCCCAUUCUCAUCGCGAGUGGGGGCGCACCCAGAGCGUACACGCUGGGACCCGAAAGAUGGUGAACUAUGCCUGGUCAGGACGAAGUCAGGGGAAACCCUGAUGGAGGUCCGUAGCGAUUCUGACGUGCAAAUCGAUCGUCGGAACUGGGUAUAGCGGCGAAAGACUAAUCGAACCAUCUAGUAGCUGGUUCCCUCCGAAGUUUCCCUCAGGAUAGCUGGCGCUCGCUCAUGCGAGUCUCAUCCGGUAAAGCGAAUGAUUAGAGGCAUUGGGGUCGAAACGGCCUCAACCUAUUCUCAAACUUUAAAUGGGUGAGAUCUCCGGCUUGCUCGAACUAUGAAGCCGCGAGACCUCGGAUCAGAGUGCCAAGUGGGCCACUUUUGGUAAGCAGAACUGGCGCUGUGGGAUGAACCAAACGCCGAGUUAAAGCGCCAAAAUCGACGCUUAUGGGAUAC